CUUCAUUGUGUCCACAUUGCAAGACGACCACCUCACAAGGAUUUUCCUCUUCACCAGGUGUGGCAGACGGAAGCUCCCUGGGAAGGAUCACCCUAGUCUAGACAGGACUGUCAGGGAAGCUCUUGUCAGUGACGACUGUCUGCCGGCAAACAUCGCCUGAGGGGAAAGAAGGACAGGGAGAUCUCUAAAGAAGAAAAUGGAAAAGAAAGAUGAUCCUAAAGAGAAAGCCGGCCAGCCGCAGUGCCAUGGAGUUUUUUGGAUUAACAGUUAAAUGAUGCAUAGCUCUCCCUGUCCAGAUGCUAUUGUUUGUCAUGUUCAUUAUUUGACUUA
rnacentral:lncRNA from 1 species